rnacentral:rRNA from 1 species
GCGAACGCUGGCGGCAGGCUUAACACAUGCAAGUCGAGCGCUCGUAGCAAUACGGGAGCGGCAGACGGGUGAGUAACACGUGGGAACGUACCUUUUGGUUCGGAACAACACAGGGAAACUUGUGCUAAUACCGGAUAAGCCCUUACGGGGAAAGAUUUAUCGCCGAAAGAUCGGCCCGCGUCUGAUUAGCUAGUUGGUGAGGUAAUGGCUCACCAAGGCGACGAUCAGUAGCUGGUCUGAGAGGAUGAUCAGCCACAUUGGGACUGAGACACGGCCCAAACUCCUACGGGAGGCAGCAGUGGGGAAUAUUGGACAAUGGGCGCAAGCCUGAUCCAGCCAUGCCGCGUGAGUGAUGAAGGCCUUAGGGUCGUAAAGCUCUUUGUGCGGGAAGAUAAUGACUGUACCGCAAGAAUAAGCCCCGGCUAACUUCGUGCCAGCCGCCGCGGUAAU